AAAUAAACAGCCAUGUUGCUCCCACAAAGCCUGUUUGGUGGUCUCUUCACACGGACAUGCAUGAAAUUUGGUGCUAUGACUCGGAUCAGGGGACCUCCCUUGGGAGAUCAAUCCCCUGUCCUCUUGUUCUUUGCUCCAUGAGAAAGAUCCACUUAUGACCUCAGGUCCUCAGACCGACCAGCCCAAGAAACAUCUCACCAAUUUCAAAUCCGGUAAGCGGCCUCUUUUUAUUCUCUUCUCCAACUUCCCUCACUAUCCCUCAACCUCUUUCUCCUUUCAAUCUUGGCGCCACACUUCAAUCUCUCCCUUCUCUUAAUUUCAAUUCCUUUAUCCCAAAUCAGAUAGCGUUUAGGCUCCUUUUCAUCAAAUAUAAAAAUCCAGCCCAGUUCAUGGCUCAUUUGGCAGCAACCCUGAGAUGCUUUACAGCCCUAGACCCUAAAACGUCAAAAGGCCGUCUUAUUCUCAAUAUACAUUUUGUUACCCAAUCUACUCCCGACAUUAAAUAAAACUCCAAAAAUUACAAUCUGGCCCUCAAACCCCACAACAGGACUUAAUUAACCUCACCUUCAAGGUGUACAAUAAUAGAAAAAAUUUGCAAUUCCUUGCCUCCACUGUGAGACAAACCCCAGCCACAUCUCCAGCACACAAGAACUUCCAAACACCUGAACCGCAGCGGUCAGGCGUUCCUCCAGAAUCUCCUCCCCCAGGAGCUUGCUACAAGUGCCAAAAAUCUGGCCACCGGGCCAAGGAAUGCCCGCAGCCUGGGAUUCCUCCUAAGGCGUGUCCCAUCUGUGCGGGACCCCACUGAAAAUCAGACUGUUCAACUCACCUGGUAGCCACUUCCAAAGCCCCUGGAACUCUGGCCCAAGGCUCUCUGACUCCUUCCCAGAUCUUCUCAGCUUAGCGGCUGAAGACUGACGCUGCCCGAUCGCCUUGGAAGCCCUGUAGACAAUUACAGAUGCCGAGCUUCGGGUAACUCUCAGAGUGGAGGAUGAGAUAUCUGGAAUUGCACAGCCAACUUACCACCGUGAGGGCAACUGUCCUGAAGACCAAUCCAACCUGUGGAAGUCAGCAGAGCAGAAAGAGUAGAUCUCUGGUCCCCAAAGACGUUGUUGAGUUAUCAGGUGAGCCAAACUUGGAGCUGCACCACCUUGGAACAUCUUGUCAUAUGUGAUUAUACAUCUCUAACUGACAAGGACGUUGGAGUCAGGGAUUUCUGUUCCUCGAAGCCAAAGCCAUUUUAAUUAGGAUUUUUAAAAUUUCUUCUUUGAAAUGCACACAAUUAUACAUAUAAAAUUAAUAUAUAUUGACCAAAUAUUUAUGGCAUCAAACAUCAGUUUGAUUUUUUUUCUUUUUUUUUUUUUAAAUUAUACUUCAAGUUCUGGGAUACAUGUGCAGAACGUGCAGGUUUGUUACAUAGGUAUACACGUGCCAUGGUGGUUUGCUG
rnacentral:lncRNA from 10 species